rnacentral:tRNA from 1 species
GCGGCAGUAGCUCAGUGGUAGAGCUCCGCGUCGCGUGCGGGGAGACCCCGGUUCGAUUCCCGGCUGCUUCC